AAGUGCGACGGGUUUCAUCAUAACCUAAACUAAAUACAUCAUUCAGCCCUAAUCUGAAAUCUUUUACAAAAGUAUCUCUGAACCAAUUAGAAUCCUGAUUUGUAUUCCAGCCCAAAAUAUAUGAAUCUUCCAUCUUCCCCAAACCCAAAGUCACUGUUGUCGUUCUGUCGGGAUCGAUACAAGUACUGUUCUUGAAGCGAUGAAUGCACACAUCGAUUUGAACGUGAUCGACAGCACCUGACCUUAACCCGUUCACAUCCUGGUUUGCCCACCAAUUCUGCGAAAUACGUUGUUCAAAUUCAACGGAUGGAAAUCUAAUGCCUUGGUCCAAACCCUGCUCUGUCAACAUCUUUUCAACUCGAAGCGAUUCUGGUUUUAGAUCGGCUUAGGGUACUUCUUCUUCUUGGGGUACUUCUUCUUCUUCUUCUUGGGUUAAAAAGGGCGGUAAUGGAUCCAUACGAGUCGCAGGUAGAUAUUUCAGGAAUACAAAUAACAAAAAAGAAUUCAUAUUUUUGAAUUUCAAGAGGUAUUAGGGUUUCGGAAGAGGUUAAUGGAAGAGAUUAGGUUUCAAAAUUUUCCGAGAAAGAAAAUUCUGGUGCAGAAGAAAGUGGGUUUAGGAUUCUUUAAGUAACUGAAAGAUGGUUUAAUUGUUAACGAUGAAUACAGAAAGAGGUUUUCGUUUCAAGGAUUAAUCAAAGAGUUUGGGUCUACAAAUUCUUCCGAGAAAGAAAAAUUCUUCUGCAAAUCAGGGUUUUUGAAGUUGGGAACUGAACGAUGGGUUUAUUGAUAACAAUGAAUAGAACUGAAAUUGAAAUUGAUAUUAAAAACAAAGAUCAUGAUGAAACAGAGGUUUGGGUAAUAUAAUCAGAACUCAUGAAAAAAAGGGUUUUGGUAACAGAAGCAGAGCUCCUGGAGAAAGAAUGUUUAGGAAGAAAACGAAUUCAAAUUUUUAUACGUUGUGACGGAAUUAAUUGAGCGGAGAGAAGAAAUAGAAUGUAGCCGUUAUAUCUAUGCUUUGUUUCAACUUUCAAUUAAUGCGCGUUCUUUGCGGUUAGUGCCUUAGGACAUGUGCUUUCAGGAAUUAAAAGCUGUUGCUUGAUAUUAGGCGUGAUUGUGACAGCCUUGCCGCUGUGGGUUUUUCCUAAUUAUCAUCAUCCUUGUGGAAUGGUACUUCUAAACAAGACAGAAAAUAUUGAAGAGGAGAUUCCCUACAAGUAAAGGGUAGCUUAUAGAGUUGAUGAAUUCUUUUCUGCAUACCCAUGUGCAAACUGAUUGUGCUUCUUAUUGGAUGUGGUGUGUUGGGAUUAUGUGCAGUCGACGAGAGCCUUGCGGAGGCACUUCGGCUCGACUUUCAUUGCGGAUGCGGGAAAUCAUGAGGAUAGGGUUGCAAUGAUGCUCGGCCUUGUUUUGGAUGCAAUGUCUGGGAAGAUGGAUUCAUUAAGGAAGGGAAAGAGUGAAGUCAUGGAUUGGAGAGCAGUCAUAUACUAAUCCUUGGAUGGAGUGACAAAUUGAUAUGGAAGGACAUUUUAGGAUUUGAAAAUGCAGAGUCUUACAUCAAAAGGUGUCCACAGUUGUACCCUUUAUGCUUCGAAGAUGUGCUAAUUUCAUUUCCAGAUGCAGUAACUUGUGGAAUUUUAGGUUGCUGCAAAUGGCGGGAGGAUUGUUCUUUAUCUGGAUGAAGAUUAUGUUCAAGCUGAGGAUGAUGAUACGUGUAGCCCGGAUCCCAUACCAGAGAUGCUGCAGGUACGCAGCAGAUAUUUCCCAAGUGUUUUUAUCCAUCUAAAAUAUCCAGAGAAGUUACUGUUCAGUGGUUGGCAUCGUGACAUCAAGAUCGUGGUGAGACAUUGUUGGCUCAAGGUUCAGAAUUAGUGAGGUUUCAGUUGAAGAAAGAGAGAGGAAACACACUGAUUCUGGACUAGCGAACCUAAGUCUUGUCCUAGGGCCUGCAGGUACUGCCAAUAUUUUGAGAGGACAUAGUGGAAUUUGAGAGUUCAGGCAAUGGGCUUGGGUAUUGCAAGUAACUAUAUUGCAGAGACCUUGGUAGAGUGGUGGCAGGAUUAGAAUUUGGCAAUUGACUGGUAUGUUUUCUGAAGUAAGGUGGUUUCGGCUUCACAAAAUAAUGUUGGCUUGUUGCAGCUAAAUGGAGUAGACUUAAAAGCAACUCCAUUCUGUGGUUGUUGGCUUGUUGCAGCUAAAUGCAGUAGACUUAAACAUUAUGAGGAAAUCAGUUAUGAACAUCCAGACAAGGAGGUUAGUUUUGCAGAGGAUAGACUGCCAGAGAGUCGCCUGCGAGAUUUGAGAAGCCUGACGUUGUAUACUGAGUAGAUGAGCAGGGAGUCGGCUACUGUAAAUUUGUAUAUUUGGUCACCUUUUUGUUAAUUUUGUGGAGUCCUAUGCUUCAGUUAUCAAUUCUUUGUAGCUAUUCUCUGAGGCUAAUUACAUCAUGAUACAUAUAAAAAAAA